rnacentral:RNase_P_RNA from 1 species
GCAAGCCGGCGAGCGGGCGCCGGAUCCACUCGGCGACGAGUGGAUCUGGGGAAACCCCACCAAGGGCCACAGACCACGGCGUCGCGAGACGCAGGGGGAGACCCCUGGCUCCGGAACAGAAACGAGACCUCCCUUAGAGUAUGGGGAUGAAACAGUGAACCCCUCUGGCAACAGAGGGGGAGUUAACCUGUGGACGACUCUAAGGGAUGGGGUGAAACGGCCGUCCCGUGGCUAGGGUCAAAUAGGGACUGAUGAUCGGCUGUGGGGGAGGUCCGGGUAGACCCUAAGUCAAAUCCCGCUCAAACAGAAGGUGGGUUACGACCGGCAUGC